rnacentral:rRNA from 1 species
GAUGAACGCUCGCGGGAGGCCUAACACAUGCAAGCCGAGCGGUAUUUGUUCUUCGGAACAGAGAGAGCGGCGCACGGGUGCGGAACACGUGUGCAACCUGCCUUUAUCUGGGGGAUAGCCUUUCGAAAGGAAGAUUAAUACCCCAUAAUAUAUUGAGUGGCAUCAUUUGAUAUUGAAAACUCCGGUGGAUAGAGAUGGGCACGCGCAAGAUUAGAUAGUUGGUGAGGUAACGGCUCACCAAGUCAAUGAUCUUUAGGGGGCCUGAGAGGGUGAUCCCCCACACUGGUACUGAGACACGGACCAGACUCCUACGGGAGGCAGCAGUGAGGAAUAUUGGACAAUGGGUUAGCGCCUGAUCCAGCCAUCCCGCGUGAAGGACGACGGCCCUAUGGGUUGUAAACUUCUUUUGUAUAGGGAUAAACCUACUCUCGUGAGAGUAGCUGAAGGUACUAUAAGAAUAAGCACCGGCUAACUCCGUG